GGACUACCGGGGUAUCUAAUCCUGUUUGCUCCCCACGCUUUCGCACAUGAGUGUCAGUAUUGGGCCAGGAAGCCGCCUUCGCCACUGAUGUUCCUUCCGAUAUCUACGCAUUUCACCGCUACACCGGAAAUUCCGCUUCCCUCUCCCAUACUCGAGUAAUGCAGUCUCGAAUGCAGUUCCCGGGUUAAGCCCGGGGAUUUCACAUCCGACUUACAAAACCACCUACGUGCGCUUUACGCCCAGUAAUUCCGAUUAACGCUCGCACCCUCUGUAUUACCGCGGCUGCUGGCAC
rnacentral:rRNA from 1 species